GUUCUGCUCCUCUGGAGGGAGG
rnacentral:miRNA from 1 species